GCCGCCGUAGCUCAGGGGUUAGAGCGCCUGGCUCAUAACCAGGAGGUCGGGGGUUCAAAUCCCCCCGGCGGCA
rnacentral:tRNA from 2 species